rnacentral:rRNA from 1 species
AUGAACGCUGGCGGCGUGCCUAAUACAUGCAAGUCGAGCGAACGGACGAGAAGCUUGCUUUUCUGAUGUUAGCGGCGGCCGGGUGAGUAACACGUGGAUAACCUACCUAUAAGACUGGGAUAACUUCGGGAAACCGGAGCUAAUACCGGAUAAUAUUUUGAACCGCAUGGUUCAAAAGUGAAAGACGGUCUUGCUGUCACUUAUAGAUGGAUCCGCGCUGCAUUAGCUAGUUGGUAAGGUAACGGCUUACCAAGGCAACGAUGCAUAGCCGACCUGAGAGGGUGAUCGGCCACACUGGAACUGAGACACGGUCCAGACUCCUACGGGAGGCAGCAGUAGGGAAUCUUCCGCAAUGGGCGAAAGCCUGACGGAGCAACGCCGCGUGAGUGAUGAAGGUCUUCGGAUCGUAAAACUCUGUUAUUAGGGAAGAACAUAUGUGUAAGUAACUGUGCACAUCUUGACGGUACCUAAUCAGAAAGCCACGGCUAACUACGU